rnacentral:tRNA from 1 species
GCUCCAGUGGCGCAAUCGGUUAGCGCGCGGUACUUAUAAGACAGUAUUCAGCAGAGCGAUGCCGAGGUUGUGAGUUCGAGCCUCACCUGGAGCA